GACGAACGCUGGCGGCGUGCUUAACACAUGCAAGUCGAACGGAAAGGCCCUGCUUUUGUGGGGUGCUCGAGUGGCGAACGGGGGAGUAACACGUGAGUAACCUGCCCUUGACUUUGGGAUAACUUCAGGAAACUGGGGCUAAUACCGGAUAGCAGCUCCUGCACCGUGGUGGGGGUGGGAAAGUUGCGGCGGUUGGGGAUGGACUCGCGGCUUAUCAGCUUGUUGGUUGGGUAGUGGCUUACCAAGGCAUGGACGGAUAGCCGGCCGGAGAGGGUGGACGGGCUCAAUGGGACUGAGAUACGGACCAGACUCCUACGGGAGGCAGCAGUGGGGAAUAUUGCACAAUGGGAGGAAGCCUGAGGCAGCAGCGCCGCGUGCGGGAUGACGGCCUGCUGGUUGUAAACCGCUUUCGCCUGUGACGAAGCGUGAGUGACGGUAAUGGGUAAAGAAGCACCGGCUAACUACGUG
rnacentral:rRNA from 1 species